UAAUCACUAAUGACAGAUGUAUGCCCUUUGGCCAUCAGUAACUGACCAGAAACAAAAGACAAAAGCACAUAUGCUAUAUCAAUUAUAUUGGCAAUAAGUACCACAUGUGUCUGGGAGAUAUGACCUCGGGAACUGGCCAGAAACAAAAGACAAAGCACAUAUGCUAUAUCAAUUAUCUAAGCACUCAGGACACUCUGUGUCUGGGGACUCUUGACCACAGGAACAUGAUCAGGGACAAAAGCAUAUACAAAUUAGCAACAUAUGUUUAAAUGGUAUCUAGUCUAAUUAAUUAUAAGUUGAGGGGGAGUGUUAAAUAUGGUAAUAUCUAAAACUUAUAAUUUAAGCAGACCCAAUAGCAGUGCAGAUAGUUUUGGGGCGUAAUUUAGGCCUAGCCAAUCGCAAAAACAAGGCAUCUAUGGGCGGUAAUACAGGAUGGCCAUAAAUACAGCGUACCAUGAGACCUGGACAAUACAAAAGUUUUAUUCACAGAAACAUUUUUCUGACGAUAAAAAAACAAGAUGUCUCAACACAGCGCUAAUAGCAUGUUUAACAACUUUGGGGACAUUACAGAUUCUCAGUUAGCGGCUGUUAUGGAUGUUGUAUUACCACCAUUGCCCUAUUCACAAACAGAAGAUAUUUUAGGACUAACAGCUAGAGACCUAAACAUUCUUGACUGUGCAACUCUAAAAGAGCCCGACAUUGAGAUCAUUGCGCAUAAUGUUGAGAGCCGUGCAACACACAAAAAACCAUCACAGACUGAAAAAAGGGGGAAAACAUUUCGU